rnacentral:rRNA from 1 species
UACGUAGGGGGCUAGCGUUGUCCGGAAUCAUUGGGCGUAAAGCGCGCGUAGGCGGCCCGGUAAGUCCGCUGUGAAAGUCCAGGGCUCAACCCUGGAAAGCCGGUGGAUACUGCCGGGCUAGAGUCCGGAAGAGGCGAGUGGAAUUCCUGGUGUAGCGGUGAAAUGCGCAGAUAUCAGGAGGAACACCGGUGGCGAAGGCGGCAUCCUGGACCGGUAUUGACGCUGAGACGCGAAAGCGUGGGGAGCGAACAGG